rnacentral:lncRNA from 1 species
ACUCUCUCGGCCUCCAUUAGAGUGAAAUAAUCCCCUCUUUGUGAGCCUCUCUCUCUCGGCCUCUCCCUCCCCCUCUCACUGUGACCUUUGUGGUUAACAUAUUGUGGGUAUAUUCUUGGUCUUCUCCUUCCCAAUUGAUAGCAACCGGACCGGUGGCGGCAUAGGGUGGUGUUGGAGUUGUCUCAAGUUUUGGUGUCGAUGUUUUUGGUAAACUGAGCCCGAUUUUGCACGUGUUGGCUGUGGAAUUCGGUCCUACA